rnacentral:rRNA from 1 species
CAGGCUGUGGAUGAGGUCACGGACCGCCCAACCAAAGAAGGGUACAGGCGAUGGGAGUCGGAACACCGGAGAUGGGGAGUGACACAAGGCCCCAGGCCCUACGGGGCGCAGCAGGCGCGAAAACUCCACAAUGCGCGCAAGCGUGACGGGGGGACCCCAAGUGCCGUUGGUCUUUUGAUCGACGGUUUUUCGGAAGUUUAGGGAGCUUCCGGAAUAAGGGCUGGGUAAGACUGGUGCCAGCCGCCGCGGUAA